UACGAAGGGGGCUAGCGUUGCUCGGAAUCACUGGGCGUAAAGGGUGCGUAGGCGGGUUUUUAAGUCAGAGGUGAAAUCCUGGAGCUCAACUCCAGAACUGCCUUUGAUACUGAAAGUCUUGAGUAUGGGAGAGGUGAGUGGAACUGCGAGUGUAGAGGUGAAAUUCGUAGAUAUUCGCAAGAACACCAGUGGCGAAGGCGGACUCACUGGCCCAUUACUGACGCUGAGG
rnacentral:rRNA from 1 species